rnacentral:misc_RNA from 1 species
AACUUUUAACAAUGGAUCUCUUGGCUCUCGCAUCGGUGAAGAACGCAGCGAAAUGCGAUACGUAAUGUGAAUUGCAGAAUUCAGUGAAUCAUCGAAUCUUUGAACGCACCUUGCGCCCCUUGGCAUUCCGAGGGGCACACCCGUUUGAGUGUCGUGAAAUUCUCAAACCUUCUUGGUUUCUUGACCAAGAUGGCUUUGGACUUUGGAGGUAUCUUGCUGGCUUUGCAAAAAGCCGGCUCCUCUUAAAUGCAUUAGUGGGGUCUCCUUUGCCGAUCCCCAGGCGUGAUAAGUUGCUUCUACGUCUUGGGAUUUGCUCUGUUCCUUGAGAACCUGCUUCCAAUCGUCUCAUCGAAGACAUCGUUCGAGCUUGCUCGACCCACGAACCUUGACCUCAAAUCGGGUGAGACUACCAGCUGAACUUAAGAAUAUCAAUAAGAGGAGGCU